GCCUCGGUGGCUCUGGGGCGAGAGCGCUGGCCUACGGAUCCCCAUGUGCCGGGUUCGAAUCCCGACCGAGGUG
rnacentral:tRNA from 1 species